CCCGGCUAGCUCAAUCGGUAGAGCGUGAGACUCUUAAUCUCAAGGUUGUGGGUUCGACCCGUAAGUUGGAA